CCCCUGGUAGUUCAAUGGCUAAGACUCUAUGCUCCAAAUACAGGGGCCCAGGUUCAAUCCCUGGUCAGGAAA
rnacentral:tRNA from 1 species